UGUGGUUUAAUUCGACGCAACGCGAAGAACCUUACCAGGGCUUGACACUCCCUGACCGCGUAUGAAAGUACGUUUUCACCCUCGGGUGACAGGGAGACAGGUGGUGCAUGGUUGUCGUCAGCUCGUGUCGUGAGAUGUUGGGUUAAGUCCCGCAACGAGCGCAACCCCUACGUUUAGUUGCUAACGCGUGAAGGCGAGCACUCUAGACGAACUGCCGUUGACAAAACGGAGGAAGGUGGGGAUGACGUCAAAUCAUCAUGCCCCUUAUGUUCUGGGCUACACACGUGCUACAAUGGCCGGUACAGACGGACGCAAAGCCGCGAGGUGGAGCAAAUCCUAAAAAGCCGGUCUCAGUUCGGAUUGCAGGCUGCAAUUCGCCUGCAUGAAGUCGGAAUCGCUAGUAAUCGCAGGUCAGCAUACUGCGGUGAAUACGUUCCCGGGCCUU
rnacentral:rRNA from 1 species